AUGGAAGAGGAACAACUUCUUGACUACGAAGAGGAGCAGGAGGAGAUCCAAGACAAGCAGCCAGAAGUUGGCGGAGGCGAUGCCAGAAAAACUAAAGGAACGUAUGCUUCUAUUCAUUCUUCCGGAUUUCGUGACUUCCUCUUGAAGCCAGAAAUUCUUCGUGCCAUCGGAGACUGCGGUUUCGAACAUCCAUCGGAAGUACAACAUGAGUGCAUUCCUCAAGCCAUUCUUGGAAUGGACGUUGUCUGCCAAGCGAAGUCCGGUAUGGGUAAAACCGCUGUUUUUGUAAUCACCACUCUUCAACAACUGGAGCCAGUGGAUGGCGAGGUAUCUGUUGUUUGCAUGUGCCACACUCGCGAGUUGGCAUUCCAAAUUUCCAAGGAGUAUGAGAGAUUUAGCAAAUAUCUCCCAGGAGUCAAGGUAGCUGUCUUUUUCGGUGGAAUGGCCAUCAAGAAAGAUGAGGAACGCCUUGCCAAUGACUGUCCACACAUUGUUGUUGGAACUCCAGGAAGAAUGUUGGCUCUGGCUCGUUCUGGCAAGCUGAAGCUUGACAAAGUCAAGUACUUCGUCCUGGACGAGUGCGACAAGAUGAUCGGAGAUGCUGAUAUGCGUCGGGAUGUUCAAGAAAUCGUCAAGAUGACUCCACAACAGAAGCAAGUGAUGAUGUUCUCCGCCACAUUGCCAAAGGAGCUUCGCACUGUUUGCAAGCGAUUCAUGCAAGACGUACGCUUUAUCUCUGAUCCGGAACCUACGGAACCGCUGUUCACUUUUUUGAAACAAAAAACAUGUAUCAAACCAAAAUGCUAGUCAUGUGUGUUCCGUGAUGCGAAAGAGAUGGCCAGAACUUGAUCUCAUCUUGUUAAGCCUCUCGCCACGCAGAAGCCAUCGUCCUCGGGGGAGGUAGCUGGCUCGCCUCAGCGAAGCUGAUUGCUAAUAGGUCGAAAGACUUGUCGGGAACACGUGACAUGUACUGCAAAACACGUUCCAGCCCCCGAUUCAUCACCGUGCUGCCGUUCUAGACCUUAAAACAUUUUUUCAGCCAAUGGAAGUCUACGUCGACGACGAAGCCAAGCUCACUCUGCACGGACUUCAGCAACAUUACGUCAAACUGAAGGAAGCCGAGAAGAACCGUCGUUUGCUGAAUCUUCUCGAUGCACUCGAGUUCAACCAAGUCGUCAUUUUCGUCAAGGCCGUAAAACGUUGCGAAGCUCUCCACCAGCUCCUCACAGAACAAAAUUUCCCAUCAAUUGCCAUUCAUCGUCAAAUGGCUCAAGAAGAGCGACUUUCAAGAUACCAAGCAUUCAAAGACUUCCAAAAGAGAAUCUUGGUGGCCACCGAUUUGUUUGGACGUGGAAUGGAUAUCGAAAGAGUCAACAUCGUGUUCAACUACGACAUGCCAGAAGAUUCCGACUCGUAUCUUCACAGAGUUGCACGUGCUGGUCGUUUUGGAACCAAGGGUUUGGCCAUCACUUUCGUUUCUGAUGAGAAUGACGCCAAGACCUUGAACAGCGUUCAAGACCGCUUCGAUAUCAGCAUCACUGAGCUCCCAGAAAAGAUCGAUGUCUCUACCUACAUCGAAGGCCGAACCAAUUGA